rnacentral:rRNA from 1 species
UAGCAUAAUCAUUAGUUUUUUAAUUGAAAACUUGUAUGAAUGGUUGGACAAAGAAAAAGCUGUCUCUUUUAUUUGAAUUGAAAUUAACUUCUAAGUGAAAAGGCUUAGAUUUUUUAGAGGGACGAUAAGACCCUAUAAAGCUUUAUAAGUUAAGUAAGUUAAAUUAAUUUUUUAAAAUAAAAAUAAGCUUAAAAAAUUUAUUUGGUUGGGGCGACAAUGGUAUAAAUUAAAUAACUGCUAUUAAAAUUAAGCAAUUAUAUUUGAUUAGAAUUAUAAUUGAUCCUUAUUAUGGAUUAAAAGAUCAAGUUACUUUAGGGAUAACAGCGUAAUUUCUUUUGAGAGUUCUUAUCAAAGAAGAAGCUUGCGACCUC